rnacentral:rRNA from 1 species
UGUGUUAAUUCGAAGCAACGCGAAGAACCUUACCAGGUCUUGACAUCCGAUGCUAUUUCUAGAGAUAGAAAGUUACUUCGGUACAUCGGUGACAGGUGGUGCAUGGUUGUCGUCGGCUCGUGUCGUGAGAUGUUGGGUUAAGUCCCGCAACGAGCGCAACCCCUAUUGUUAGUUGCCAUCAUUCAGUUGGGCACUCUAGCGAGACUGCCGGUAAUAAACCGGAGGAAGUGGGAUGACGUCAAAUCAUCAUGCCCCUUAUGACCUGGGCUACACACGUGCUACAAUGGUUGGUACAACGAGUUGCGAGUCGGUGACGGCGAGCUAAUCUCUUAAAGCCAAUCUCAGUUCGGAUUGUAGGCUGCAACUCGCCUACAUGAAGUCGGAAUCGCUAGUAAUCGCGGAUCAGCACGCCGCGGUGAAUACGUUCCCGGGCCUU